UUAAAAAGCUCGUAGUUGGAUUUCUGCUGAGGACGACCGGUCCGCCCUCUGGGUGAGCAUCUGGCUUGGCCUUGGCAUCUUCUUGGAGAACGUAGCUGCACUUGACUGUGUGGUGCGGUAUCCAGGACUUUUACUUUGAGGAAAUUAGAGUGUUU
rnacentral:rRNA from 1 species